rnacentral:rRNA from 1 species
CGUGCUUAACACAUGCAAGUCGAACGAAACACCUUAUUUGAUUUUCUUCGGAACUGAAGAUUUGGUGAUUGAGUGGCGGACGGGUGAGUAACGCGUGGGUAACCUGCCCUGUACAGGGGGAUAACAGUCAGAAAUGACUGCUAAUACCGCAUAAGACCACAGCACCGCAUGGUGCAGGGGUAAAAACUCCGGUGGUACAGGAUGGACCCGCGUCUGAUUAGCUGGUUGGUGAGGUAACGGCUCACCAAGGCGACGAUCAGUAGCCGGCUUGAGAGAGUGAACGGCCACAUUGGGACUGGGACACGGCCCAAACUCCUACGGGAGGCAGCAGUGGGGAAUAUUGCACAAUGGGGGAAACCCUGGUGCAGCGACGCCGCGUGAGUGAAGAAGUAUCUCGGUAUGUAAAGCUCUAUCAGCAGGGAAGAAAAUGACGGUACCUGACUAAGAAGCCCCGGCUAACUACGUGCCAGCAGCCGCGGUAAUACGUAGGGGGCAAGCGUUAUCCGGAAUUACUGGGUGUAAAGGGUGCGUAGGUGGUAUGGCAAGUCAGAAGUGAAAACCCAGGGCUUAACUCUGGGACUGCUUUUGAAACUGUCAGACUGGAGUGCAGGAGAGGUAAGCGGAAUUCCUAGUGUAGCGGUGAAAUGCGUAGAUAUUA